AUGAUGGACCAGUCUAAACAGUGGGACUACUACCCUCCAGGACCGGGACCAGGACCAGGACCCAGACGGGAGGACAAGAGGGAGAAGGAGAGAGAGAGACCCAGGGAGAGACCACAUGAGAGGGAGAGAGAGCGAGAGCACAGCCCCUCCACUAUGGCUUACAACAGUGACGAGGAGCGGUACCGUGGUUACCGGGAGUACCAAGCGGAGCGUGGCUACAGCGGCGGUGACCGCGGAGGAGGUGACCGUGGAGGGGGGGAGCGUGGCGGAGUAGACCGCGGAGGUGACCGUGGAGGGGGGGAGCGUGGCGGUGACCGUGGGAGUGGUGGUGAGCGUGGUGGUGGAGGCGGCGAGCGCCACAGAGACAGGUCGAGCCGUGAGAAGGAGGAGAGACACAGAGAGAGAAGACACAGAGAGAAGGAGGAGGGGAGACACAAGUCAUCACGCAGAAUCAGAACUGUCUUCCUUUUCUCUCUCUCUGUCUCUCUCUCCUCUCUGUCUCUCUCUCUCUCCUGUCU
ensembl:lncRNA